rnacentral:rRNA from 1 species
CCCUUUUGUGCACCCACCGCGUGGGCACCCCUUCGGGAUCAAACCGAUCCAGGAGGGGGGCUUGCGUUUUCACACAAACCCCCUUUUUAAAAAGUGUAGAAUGACCCCAUUUUUGCGAUAACACGCAAUCAAUACAACUUUCAACAACGGAUCUCUUGGCUCUCGCAUCGAUGAAGAACGCAGCGAAAUGCGAUACGUAAUGUGAAUUGCAGAAUUCAGUGAAUCAUCGAAUCUUUGAACGCACCUUGCGCCCCUUGGUAUUCCGAGGGGCACACCCGUUUGAGUGUCGUGAAAAUCUCAACCUUCUUGGUUUCUUCUGGACACCGAAGGAGGCUUGGACUUUGGAGGCCUUUGCUGGCGUCUCUCUUUUGAGAGCCAGCUCCUCUUAAAUGAAUUAGCGGGGUCCUCUUUGCUGGCCCUCGACAUGUGAUAAGAUGUUUCCAUGUCUUGGUUUCUGGCUCUGUUGCUUUUGGGACCCGCUUCUAACCGUCUCAACGAGACAACGCUNNNNNNGUCUCCCUUCACGGGGGAGACCCU